GCUACUUAGAUAAUCAUUUGGUUACUGUUAAAUCUAAUAAAAUAAAAUCGUUAAGUUGGAGAAAAUGCUUAAGACUGUCACUCUGAAAAAACUAGUAGCAGACUCUAUAACAUUGAUAAGCGAGGAUGUAGAUACACCUCUCCUGCCUGUUUUAAAACAAAAAUGGGAACAAGAAUUAAAAACAAAAAUUAAUUAUAAAGAGUAGAUUAAUUCAAUAAAAUUGGUAACUAAAAAAGUGCAUUGAAAAAAAAAAAGAAAGUCUGUGAUUGGACAGCCACAGAAAGUCUGACCUGGGGAAGAUCUGCAGCUUUUGCAAGCGAGUUUUUUUACAUAUACCUCCAAUUAAAAAAAAAGCAUGUUUUCACUGGGGGUAUAUCUACUAAACAGUGAUUUUUUUUUUUUUUUAGAUUUAGGCAGUGGAGUGCCCCUCUAAUAGAGUCCAAC